rnacentral:rRNA from 1 species
AUUGAACGCUGGCGGCAUGCCUUACACAUGCAAGUCGAACGGCAGCGCGGACUUCGGUCUGGCGGCGAGUGGCGAACGGGUGAGUAAUACAUCGGAACGUACCCUGUUGUGGGGGAUAACUAGUCGAAAGAUUAGCUAAUACCGCAUACGACCUGAGGGUGAAAGUGGGGGACCGCAAGGCCUCACGCAGCAGGAGCGGCCGAUGUCUGAUUAGCUAGUUGGUGGGGUAAAGGCCCACCAAGGCGACGAUCAGUAGCUAGUCUGAGAGGACGAUCAGCCACACUGGGACUGAGACACGGCCCAGACUCCUACGGGAGGCAGCAGUGGGGAAUUUUGGACAAUGGGGGCAACCCUGAUCCAGAAAUGCCGCGUGUGUGAAGAAGGCCUUCGGGUUGUAAAGCACUUUUGUCCGGAAAGAAAUCGCGCUGGUUAAUACCUGGCGUGGAUGACGGUACCGGAAGAAUAAGCACCGGCUAACUACGUG